rnacentral:tRNA from 1 species
GCCUGGGUAGCUCAGCUGGUUGAGCAACUGACUUCAGCUCAGGUCAUGAUCUCCUGGUUCGUGAGUUCGAGCCCCGCAACAGGCU